GAUGAACGCUGGCGGCGUGCCUAAUACAUGCAAGUCGAGCGAACAGACGAGGAGCUUGCUCCUCUGACGUUAGCGGCGGACGGGUGAGUAACACGUGGAUAACCUACCUAUAAGACUGGGAUAACUUCGGGAAACCGGAGCUAAUACCAGAUAAUAUAUUGAACCGCAUGGUUCAAUAGUGAAAGACGGUUUUGCUGUCACUUAUAGAUGGAUCCGCGCCGCAUUAGCUAGUUGGUAAGGUAACGGCUUACCAAGGCAACGAUGCGUAGCCGACCUGAGAGGGUGAUCGGCCACACUGGAACUGAGACACGGUCCAGACUCCUACGGGAGGCAGCAGUAGGGAAUCUUCCGCAAUGGGCGAAAGCCUGACGGAGCAACGCCGCGUGAGUGAUGAAGGUCUUCGGAUCGUAAAACUCUGUUAUUAGGGAAGAACAAAUGUGUAAGUAACUAUGCACGUCCUGACGGUACCUAAUCAGAAAGCCACGGCUAACUACGUG
rnacentral:rRNA from 1 species